GGGACUUGACGAUGGCGCCUGCUCGUUCCUGUUGUGUUCUAUCUGAGGCAUGAUUUUCUUUCGUUUUUGGGAGGUAGAGAGCACGGGGCAGAGGUUGCACCUGACACAUUAGAACUCCGUUGUCACUGCUGUGGCUGUUAUUCCCCUCGGCAAGAGCCAAGGAGCAAACAGGACGUGAAGAUCCCGGUGUUACACAUCCAAUCGUUCACCUCCUUCCAAGACUAUGACAUUCCAGGAAACCUUCACUGCUAAGAGGAACUAAGAUCUAGAGUAUCUCCUCGAGGAAGUACAACUGCAUUAUAAAUUAAGGAGGAAUAGUAACAAAGAGCUUGAAGACAUGCACAGCUCACAGGCCCCGGGUGGAGGCUGGCGACAUCAGACAGACAGAACCAAGACAUCUGAGGGGCAACCAGGAGGUGCGUGUGGCUGCAGAGCACACAGACUUGUCUUUGGACAAAAUUGAGAAGAACUCAUAAACUUGGCUUCCUCGCUUCUGCUCCUCAGACGCGCGUGGAUGAUUUGAAGAUAUUAGCCUAACAAGAUGGAAGCAGGUUUAAAAUUUUACAUAAGAAGUUACCUUUUUCAGCUGGUCCUAUAGUACCCCUCCUCAGGAAUGUCUCCCCAGUGCAAGGACAAAGACUGAAGAGACUGCUAUAUUGAUGGACUCUCAAGCCAACUAUGAAGUUGAAACAAAGAAAGUGAUCACCUGAAGACACCUCCUCUGCUAAGAAACACCCCCAAAUUGUGCAGCUUCUGCCACUAGAACUCUCAGAACAAGAGACAAUCUUUUCAAGAAACAGAAAAACUCAAUAAUGACAUCUAGAUUUUCAUGAGCCAAGAACUUUCCCUUCCUCAUGUGUAUUCCUCUGUUUGUACUUAAAUUCAUGUGACAUUCAUUUUUUUCCUAGUAUGGAUAUGCUUAUUAAUGCACUUGUUUCAAAAUCCCAAAUUGCACAAAUGUGUUAAUAUUUUAAGAAACAAAAUGAAUCCUACAAGGAGAAUGAUUUUUAGCCACACAUAGGGUUGGAUCUUGAGAGUGACCUACAGAAUAAAAGUACUUUUAAAAUAAAGUAGUCAGAGGCUAUUCAAAGGGUAAAAUAAUCAUAGUACCACAUUGGUCCACUUGACACUAACCAAUCGAUCAUUUUUUUUUAAUCAAGAAAGCUAGAUUCUAUCAGAUAAAAUCACUGCUUCUAAAGAGUUUAAAUCUAGUUAGAAAAAGUUAUAGAAAUGUUUGCAAAGAUAAGUAACAGAUAGAGUCAGUAGAGGAUAAGAUCAAAAACAAAACCAAGCAAAAGAUGAGUUCAGGGGAGUUUGCCAUCAAGUUGGCAAAACUGACUUACUUAGGGAAGAAAGUUAUAAAACAGGAAAAUAUGAGAUGAACCUUGAGUGAUGUGGAAGAUUUAGAUAAAUGGAAAGGAAGGAGAAAAUGGAGUUCUUUAGGUGGUUGUAAUUGGAGGAGGAAAUGAAUACACACAUCUUGUUGACUUAAACCCAGACAUUCAGCAGCUCUCUAUACAUAUCUGGAAAAGACUGCACAGUCACCUCCUGUCUCUCACCCCAGGUAUUACUUAGAAUUAUUAUCAUAUUUCCCUUCCUUUAAAGUAAGUAAGGGUGAUUGGUGACAAUAUGGAGAACUAUGAUUUUUCCAUUAACCUAAUAAUAAUUGGUAUUUAUUGAGUUCUGUUAAGCAUUUUACAUAUUAACUCACUUAAGCCUUUCAACAGCCUUGCAAAAUAGGUAUUAUUAUCCCCAUUUUACAGGCAAGAAAACUGAGGUUUAAGUAACUUGCCGAAGUGCCAUAUACAGGGCUCACAUUCAGUAUUGCAGUUGCAAAGCUCAUGAUCUAUAGUGCCAAGUUGCAAUAUUGUAGUCAAUGUCACAAUUAUUACCCCUUUUUAUAUUCCUUGAUAUUUUUCCAUGGCAAACAAUUAGCUAUUUCAUUUAAUAAUCACCUAAAACUUUUCAGUCUUCUGAUUAAAAUUACGCUGGAGUGAUAGAAUGUAUUUUCAUGAUAGAAAUUGGGAAAAAAAAUGGGGAAUGAAGUUUAUCAGCAUUUCAGACUUGUUUUUUUUUUUUUUUUUUGCAAGACUUUGAUGAGAUUGUUCACUUUUGUCUAUGUAAAAUCCCAAAUCCUUGAGAAUAAAAAAGGGGGAGGUUUAAGUCACUUGUUGCAAUGCCCUUUUUAAUAGAGGCAAUAAAUCUAAAGGCCAUAAAUUUAGAGUGACUUACAGAAGAUCGAACUUUGGAGUGUGGCAGAGUAAGGGAUGGAAACCGGGCCCUCCAGUUCACUAUCAGUAGCUUUUGCACUGGUCUGCCCUUCCUAAAUUAAGUAUGCACUUCAAUUUGAUGAGUGGAAACAGUCUAUCUGGGCAGUAACCAGGGAGCUUUGUGCCUAGUAGAUUGCUUCUGUUCUGCACUUCUUUGGUUUCCCACCUCAAUGUAAAAAAUAGCUAGCAAUGAAGUCCAGAAGUUGUCAAUGGUUCAUCCCCAGAAGAAUGCAUAAUGUCCAAAGUUGUAUGUGUAUGAUGUCUUCAAUGGUAUUAAGUUAUUUCAAAUUCUUAGUUCACCUACAUAAAUCAUUUCUAACAAGCAUCUUCUUAACCAACUUUAUGCACAGUGUAUGUUUGUAAGUGCUUCUGCACGAAUGUUUAUACAUGACUGUUUCCAUAGUACUUAUGUUUUUAAAAAUAUUCAGUCAUUUCCUACUAUAAUCCUCAUGUAUCCAUGUAACUGACUCAAAAAUACUUCAGCCACAGAAAGCUAAAACUGAGCAAAUCUCAUUCUUCUUUUCCAUCCCCUUUGCAUGUGGCUGGCAUUUAGUAAUGAUUAAUAAUAUGGCCAGCUGAAUAACAGAGGUUUGAGACACAAUUCUUUCUCAAAGGAGUCAGCUAAGCUGGGUCUACUUAUGGACAAACAUCUAAAUGUGUGGAAGUAUCUGAUAUUUGACAAUGGUAAAUUUCCACUUAGCUAGCUAGCAUUGUCAGACUUCAAUCUCCUCAUGGCUCUGGCCGUCCUGUUUUAAGCAUGAUAAUUGUUGGCCACAUCUCACAUAGUUCUCAUUGAGUGAGUUCAUAAAUAAACAGGGUUUUUUUUUUUUUUUAAAGAGCAGCCAAGCACAAAGUGUGACUUUGUUGACAUUUUAUGUGACUUUGUCAUAUGUUCCUAACCCCCAAUAAAAGCAAUGUUGCAUCAACUGUGAAUUUGUGUUGAUUUCUUGAAAAAGCAUGCUCUUAUAAUUUAUUUGUUUUCACUAGUGUAUAUCAAAGUUAGUUUCAAGAUCCACGAGGAACAAGUCAGCUAAUGUGAUAGGAAAAUUUAAAUGUGGAGACAACUUCUAAAGGAUCCCAUGUUACCUUUAAAUAAAAGGUACUGUCAUCUACCAAGUCAGAAACCAAGGUCUGGUCCUUGUCUCUUCCAUCUCCGCCAGCCAUGGUCAAUCACUCAGGUAAUCUUUUGAUUUUUUUUCUCUUUCCAUUGUUCAAAUAUGUCUACUUCUCUCCAUCUAUGCUACUGCAUUAAAGAACAACACUCAUUUCUCACCUGGACUACAGCACCAUGCCUCCAGUUUUCCUCUCCACACUGCCAAGGGGCAGCCGGGGAAAUCUCUCUAAACCACGAAUAUGAUUGUAUUAUUCCAUGGCUUCAAACUCUUCACUGGCUUCCCAUUGCCCUUGAGAUAUCGUGACACCUAAAGCCCUUCAUGCCCUGAUCCUGGCUCCAACAGUCCUCUCUGGACUCAUCAACUCUUCAGCCCCUCUGUGAUUCUAGGCUCGUGCCA
rnacentral:lncRNA from 10 species